GCCUCCUUAGGUCAGUGGUAGAGCAUUGCGAAGUUGUGUGAUGGACAUGGAUCGUUAUGGAAUACAAUGCAAAGGUCAGUCGUUCAAGCCGGCUAGGAGGCG